CAGCCGCCGCGGUAAAACGAAGGGUGCAAGCGUUAAUCGGAAUUACUGGGCGUAAAGCGUGCGUAGGCGGUUUGUUAAGUCUGUUGUGAAAUCCCCGGGCUCAACCUGGGAAUGGCAAUGGAUACUGGCAAGCUAGAGUGUGUCAGAGGAUGGUGGAAUUCCCGGUGUAGCGGUGAAAUGCGUAGAGAUCGGGAGGAACAUCAGUGGCGAAGGCGGCCAUCUGGGACAACACUGACGCUGAGGCACGAAAGCGUGGGGAGCAAACAGGAUUAGAUACCCGAGUAGUCCCUGUCUCUUAUAU
rnacentral:rRNA from 1 species